GUGGGGAAUAUUGGACAAUGGGCAAAAGCCUGAUCCAGCCAUGCCGCGUGUGUGAAGAAGGUCUUCGGAUUGUAAAGCACUUUAAGUUGGGAGGAAGGGCAUUAACCUAAUACGUUAGUGUUUUGACGUUACCGACAGAAUAAGCACCGGCUAACUUCGUGCCAGCAGCCGCGGUAAUACGAAGGGUGCAAGCGUUAAUCGGAAUUACUGGGCGUAAAGCGCGCGUAGGUGGUUCGUUAAGUUGGAUGUGAAAGCCCCGGGCUCAACCUGGGAACUGCAUCCAAAACUGGCGAGCUAGAGUACGGUAGAGGGUGGUGGAAUUUCCUGUGUAGCGGUGAAAUGCGUAGAUAUAGGAAGGAACACCAGUGGCGAAGGCGACCACCUGGACUGAUACUGACACUGAGGUGCGAAAGCGUGGGGAGCAAACAGGAUUAGAAACCCGAGUAGUCC
rnacentral:rRNA from 1 species